rnacentral:lncRNA from 1 species
AUAUCACUUGCUGGUUUAACUUCAUGAUAAGCACUUCUCUCUGUUUGACCUGAUGAUACUUUUGAAACACUACACUCAUCUUGGAUCACUGGAUAAUCAUGGUAUGAGUACCUUGGGAUCCUGAGAAUGCUAAAAGCAAAAUCAAGCUCACUUUGUUGGAAAGUGGAAAAGGAUAAGAAUAAGCAAUUACACUAUUCUACUUCUCAGAAAUUAGGAACUCAGCUUCACAAUUUUAUAUCAUAAUCACCCAAUUGCCCAACAUUGAACAUGAUAGGAUGAAAAACAGAUAUUUCAGCAAGAAUUGGCAUAUGGCUAUCUGAUUAUAUACGUCUCCUAACAAUUAUUUAGAAGAAUAAUACAUGUAUGUCUCAUGCAGGUCAUAGACCUGUGCUCCUUUAGUGAAAUUAGAUUUAAUCCCCUAUGUAUCCUUAUGUGGUAAUGAGGAAUUAAGCGUAUAUAGUUCUGGAUCCAGCUCUCUGAUAAAAGCCCUCAGUCAAGUCGUCAGCUGUCGCGAAAACGAAAAUCGGGGUAAGACAAUUAGCCAUUGAACAAAAGCUUCUCAGAACAAUAUAUGGAAUUGCAUCAUCUAGAAAAAGCACCUUAAUAGGUUACUAGAUUCCAACAAAAUUUAAACUUGCAAGACAUAAAGGUUCUACCAAUAAUAGAGAAGAAAAAUAGGAAAACAAAUAUUGCAUAAAAUGACCAUGUGUAAAUUCUAUUGCCCCAACACCCUCAUAAAUCUUAAACACAAACAAUACCAUGUGUUCAGUACCUUCAUCACAAUCAUCAAACAAACCUCAUGCUUGAGCCUUGAAGGGGUUACUUGCCCACUAACUGGACAUAAACUGAUAAUAGGUAAUGUCCAAGAGCUGUUACAAAUUAUAUUUCUCACCUAAUAUCAUGAUCAAGUUUACAUUAAUUUACUUAGUUAGAAUGUUUGAGUGCAAAAAGACUGCUACAAAGGUGGAUAAGCCUAAAGUUUUCCACUUGGUUUGGCAUAGAACUUGAGAACGCAAAGGAAAGGACAUUUUUUCCCAAUGUUAAUG